ACGGCUCUGAAUCAAGGCGAGCAGUUUGCUGAAGCUGUUGGUUUCAAGCAGGAGCCUAAAGAAUUAUCUUUCUGUGGUCUUUAGGCCAUUUCAGAACUUUGGAAAUUUAAUGGUCAAUUCAUUAGAAAGAAACAGUA